rnacentral:rRNA from 1 species
AUGGUGCUGGUCCUAGCGCUGGGGGAUCUGCACAUCCCGCACCGUGCGCCCGACCUGCCCGCCAAGUUCAAGUCCAUGCUCGUCCCGGGCAAGAUCCAGCACAUCAUCUGCACCGGGAACCUCUGCAUCAAGGAAGUUCACGACUACCUUAAAAGCCUCUGUCCUGAUCUCCACAUUACUAGAGGUGAAUAUGAUGAGGAUGCUCGCUACCCAGAGACUAAAACAGUUACUAUUGGUCAGUUCAAGCUAGGGCUAUGCCAUGGCCAUCAGGUUGUUCCAUGGGGCGACCUGGACUCCCUAGCGAUGCUCCAGAGGCAGCUGGAUGUGGACAUCCUCGUCACCGGGCACACCCAUCAGUUCAAGGCCUACAAGCACGAGGGGGGUGUCGUCAUCAACCCUGGCUCAGGCACGGGCGCCCACAGCAGCAUCACAUAUGACGUCAACCCGAGCUUUGUGCUCAUGGACAUCGAUGGCCUCCGUGUUGUUGUCUACGUGUACGAGCUCAUUGACGGCGAGGUGAAGGUUGACAAGAUCGACUUCAAGAAGACCGCCACGAUGCAUGGCUGA